GCCCGCCGAGGGUCCGCGCCGCGGCCGGGCUGUGCUGCGGGGGCUGCGCGGGGCAGGGCAGCGCUCCCGCUACCUGCUCUCCUGGCUGGUGGGAAAUCGUAGUCAUAGACAUCAAACCCAGAUUCUCCUUUGCUUGGAGCAGGCUCCUGCUGGAGUGAGGUGCCCCGGCAGAGCCUGGCCAGCCCUGCCAUGCAUCCCCACCGCUCCCCCGGCCCGCGCCAGCCCCGCUUGGCAGAGCAGCCCAUCACGGCUGGGCAGUGCACAGGAGAGGACGGUGCCUGAGUCAGCAGGACCGUCUCAUGGCCAUGGCCUGUCUGUCCUUGGCCUGCUGGCUGCUUCUUCAUCACCCUCUCAGUUACCAGACUGGAAGGAGAGGAGCUGGCUGGUCCCUGGGAGAAGGAGCAUCCUUCUGGUCCCUGCUAGCCCAAUGGGAAGGGAACUGUGAGGGAAGUCUCAGCCCAGCUCUUACUGGGAGAGUAGGAGCACAGGUGGGAAGCUGGCAGUUCCCCUCUCAGCCUGGGCUGGCUGUGCCCUCGCCAGCCCCACACUUGCCUGUGCUGGCUGGGGGUUUCUGUGCCACCCACCAGCCCCUCAGUUCCCACAUCUCCCUACAUCCCACCAGCCAAAGAGCCCCAGCGGCAGCAGGCACCAGCCACACUGACCGUAUCCUCACUCCAAGAGCAAUAGCUGACCCCAGGGCCAGUGCCUCCCCCCUCCAAAGCACACGGGCCCUGCCCUGGCCCCAGAAGCACACAACGGGCAUAUGGCUGAGCCAGGCCCCCUCCCGCCCAGCGAGGCCGGGAGCGCCAGGCUGCCCGGUGCUGGGUCCCCGAGGAGGUGACCCUGUGCUUGGCACCUCUCCUUGCCUCUGUCCCACCAUGGGGACAGCCCUGCCCCUACCUCCCGGGAGAUGCUGUGAGGCUGAGUGAAUGUCCCUAAAGCACUUUCGGUUCUCCAGUGAAAGGCAACGCUGCUGCUCGCCCGCCGUGCCCGGCCCUCCAACCCCAUCCCCAUUAGGAGCUUCCAGGGAGUUACUGAAUGAUUCCCAAAAACAAAGGUGUCCCCAGCAGCCCGGACAAUCAGGUACGAAGGAGCAGGUGGCACCUGUAGCCUGCAUAAUGCUGGGCUCCAGAGGGACCCCGAGGCUGUAGCUCUGCAUUUCACUGUGCUCAGACAGCCCAGCCAUGACCUGGUCUGGGACUGUGCCUGCGGCACUCCGGGUGCCCAGCGCGCUGCUGUACACGGAGACACGCAGGAGAGCUGCAUCCCGAACGGACCUUUCGCUGGAGGAACACCCCACCCCGAUCUAUGCAAUCCAGGGGGGCAGCUCGCCCGCCGCGUUAGCCACCUGCGUUUCCCUUUGGUGCUGAUGUGUCCGUACAGUCGGGAGCAGCGGUGGGAGCAGAAGAACCAACGUAACACUGAGCUCUGUCCCGUCCUCAGCCCAAGAUGCUGGCUCAGACCUCUGCCGUGGCCCACGUUCCCUCCCAGCCCUCGGGAAGAGGCAGGGCUGGAGCCUCAGCGAGGGCAAGGAAAGCUGCCCAGAGGGAGCAGGGCACAGGGAGCCGCACACCCUGCAGGGCCUGUGGGCAGCACUGACCGUGGAGCCACCGCUGUGCUCCUGCCCCAGAGACAGGAGAGUGAUGGAGCCCCUGGGAAUGGAUUCACCUGCCCAGGGCAUCUCUGCCUCAGGGAAGGAGAAGAGUGGAGACAGGACACUGGGAGAAGAGUGAGUAGCCGUGAGUAGAGACAACAGAAAGGUCUUGCAGUGGUGAUGGGAGACGUGGCUUGGAGUGCAGCUGAGGGAAGGCAGGCUCUGCCAGGGACAGGGAGAUGGUCCCACAGCCCAGGGCACACGUGGGGAUCCUGAGUCCCAGGGGACAGGAGCCUGCGCUGGUGGGGCCCCCAGCGGCAGGAGGGACGUGACCCCAGUCCCCUGUGCCACAGUGCCAACCAGCCCAUGGCCAGCACGGCUCCAACCACCCCCGCCCAGCUCACUGUGCCCUCCCCAGGCCCUCAGGGUCACCCCCAGCCCGGCGGUGGCAGAAGAACAGGUCCUGUCCUGCUCCGUGUCCCUCCUGUGCCGUGCCCAGCGCCUCAGGAGCACGGGGAGCCAGGAGCAGCCAGGCUCCGGCCUCCAGAGCCGCGUGGCACCGCUGGGCCUGUUCCCCUCCAGUUUGUUCCAAAAAGCCUGUGCUGGAGCUGCGGCUGCUCCGUCACCCCUCACCAGUGGAGUCCUGAGACACUCCUGUACUUGGCACUUUAACCCUGAGAAAGCCAUUCCUUCUAGUAACAAUAAUACUGCAACGAGCUGCGUAAGAACCCCCCAUUACAGCAUCCCCCCUGCCAAAUCCCCCUCCUGCUCUCCAAAGCAUUUACUGCCUUUGACUUAGCACAUGCUGUACUAGGAGUAGGGAUAGUCCAUAGCGCUCGGUAACAUGUGCCCCUCUGUAAAUAACCUUGGAGUGAUGUGAAGUUUGAUUUAAAAAAAAAAAACAACAAAAAAAAAAACCAACCCCAAAUGGAAUCUCCAGACUCUAGGGACUUGGCCAGUACCCUCCUGUAAUGUUCAUUGUAUAUUUUUUUGAUGUACUAUAACUGUUGGGAAAAAAAAAAAAAAA